AAAAAGAAGAGCACACCACUAGGUUAAAAACAGACGGGAGGUUUUGCAGAGCUCUCACUAUAAAAGCGCUCUCUGUCAGCACGAAAAUUCGUCAGUUGCUCCUGUGAACAUCUGUUACUUCAUUCCACCAUGAUCCGCUUCUGCAUCCUCCUGGCCCUGGCCACCUGUGCAUUUGCCGUCUACUCCGGCUAUCCCACCGGCUACUCUCUCGGCGCUCCUGCCUCCUACGGAGCUUACAACGCCCCACUUGGUUCACUGUCCACGUAUGGAUAUGGCCUUGGCCAUGGUGCGCCAGCGUAUGGCUACGGAUUGGGAAGCUAUGGCUUGAGUUACGGAAGCGGCCUUGGUGGUAGUGGCUAUUCCACCCUACUGCACCACAAAUAAAUCCAUCCAAGAAAGGCUGGUCACUGUGGCUUCAACUUGUAAAGCAAUGAACACUUUGGAAUAAAAAUUGUUUUAAGUAGGCGAUUCGUCACUGCUUGAUUUUUCUCCCGUCUAUUUU